GACAAAACACAAUGGAUCCAUGUUCUUAGGAAAGUAGCCGAGAAACACCAAGUGUGCCAGCAAAAAUCAUGCUUCCACAGCUGGCACAACCACAACCUUUAGUUUCCUAUCCUUAGAGAGAUACAAGAAGAGAUCAGUCCUCUAUAGAAAAUUUACAGGAAUUUAUAUCACAGUUCACAUCUUCUUAAUUAACUCCUAUUGCAAUUUGCUAUGUCCACUACUCCUUGUACAACAACUAAUCUUAGCUUUAACAUAUGGUUGUGCGGUUAUCUUGCAUUGCUUAUAUUAUUCACAUGUGCAUGUGCAUGUUCAUGUUCAUGAUGUGAAACUCUUCACGUCCAAGCAUCAAACUGAAUUAACAUGUUCUUCCAAUGAUCUUGUAGACCCUUUAAAAAAUGGUUGAUUGUAGACAUACCACCAUUUCCUGCAACGACGGUGCACAGAGGGCAAGGUAAUGCCCCUCUAGCUUCAAGAAAUAUCUUAAAUGAACCGAAUUUAUAACACCUAAUUACAGUGCUAAGAGCAAUAUAGAACAAAUUUGACAUUCAAUACAUUUGCACCUACUAUUCAUACCUAGUCAAUAAUAUCUUAAUAAAUAUAGUAGAUUAGUUUGGUGGCAAGAAUAUGGCAAAGAUACAUUAAGAUAAGUAGAAUGGAAUAGCAGAUUCACUUGAAGGCAGCGUGAUUCCAGCAUUAACCAAUGUAAAUAACCACCUAUAAAUACUCUAUACUUGAGAGCUAAAAAGGUUUCAGGAAACCAUUAAAUAUUAUAAGAUGAGGAACACAUACCUAUAACAUUUCGAGUGCAAGAAAUUUUUGGAUCUACAUCUACAACUAAAACAUGAAGCAUAAUAGAGGCCUUUUUGCAGUGAACAGUGGAGAGAAACAAAGAGAAAAUGUAUGAGUGUAUUACUUACUCACUGAAACGAAAAACAAUUGCUAAUACACAGUACAUUAAUAGUGAAACUGAUUGUUUUAGACUGCUUUUGCUAUACUUCACCCAAAAACUUCAAAAGUAAUCCUCAUAAAACUGGUCCCAGAAAC
rnacentral:lncRNA from 1 species